AUGGACAAAGCCGUCGUACACGCAUCUGAUCCGGCUGAUGCACCCGGCUGUGGGUUAGCUUCUGCUGGGAUGGUGACAAAGGACAUGGAAAAGAAGCUUGUGGGGUGCGGCCUGAUGGACAGGGAACGCGAGGGUGACGGUGGCCUGAAGAUGAAGGGACGGUUGUGGCCUGACCACAAGAGCAUGGCCACGGUGCAAAUUCCUCUAUAUCUUUCCAUGGGGCCAUGGUUGUUCCAGAGUAUGGCAACGGUGCAAAAUCAACUGUCUCCCUGGUCGAAGCAGAUGCUCGGGGUCACGUCCAAUGUCGCCGCCGAGUUUGCCGGAGGAGCAAAAACAUCUGUCGAGCCAUCCAAUGUCGCCCGCGGCGGCUACAACAGAGGUAUGUAUCCCCUUGAAAGCAGCAGGUAG
rnacentral:rRNA from 1 species